AAAACCUAUUACCUGAUUGAAUAUUUACCUAGGGCUAAGAAUUUCAGAAGUUCUUUCAUAGAACUUACAUAUGCCAAAAAAGAGAAAGUAGCAUUUCUCUUCCUUUCUUUUCUUUUUCAUUUUUCCCUUGUGUUUCUCUUCCUUUCCUUAGUGACCCUUGCUGUGUCAGCCUUUCUCUGCAUGAUCAGUUUGCUGUGAUCUAUGGAAAACUCCCACCUCAGGAAUUUGAAGCUUGUGGUAUGACUGAUGGUGGAAUUUCAAGAAUCAAGGGAAGCAAGUGAAGAAGAAACUUCAAAGCAGCAGAAGUUUCUUAACACCCUUCGAUGUUUAGGAUACAAGUGACCACUUAUUCAGGAGGCAUUCCUGGCCAUUUCAGAAGCACUAAUAUUUUAUCUAGAGGAUGAAGAAAUACUAAGAGCAAAGCCACUGUUGCAACCUGUGGCAGGGUUAACUACUUGGGACCCCUAUAAGGAUGGUGACAACAUGACACAGCUGAGGAUGAGCAAGAGGAAAUUAAGCUGUGUGGAAGCUUUAUGAGGUUCUUCUCCUGGAGGGUAAUUCCAGACAUAUUCAAGUAGAGGCAUUAUCCAGGCUCUGAGAGAUUCCAAGAGAUUCCUAAGCAUUCCAAAAAUGAUGGAAGUCUUAUCUCAAGCAAAUAAAACCAUACAUAUCCUAAUUAUUUGAUAGUGAACUCUCUGCUGGCUGGGAUGAGGUAGUCAUGCAUAAACCUGGCAUGGUCAUGGGUCUACAUGCUAUAACUUCUCAGAGCAGGCAUCCACAUAUGAGGGAGGACCUGCCAAGAUCACCAA